UAGAUCAAUGAUGAGUACUCUGAGGUGUCUGAACCAAGGAUUUUGAUUAAACCGUGUAAUUGAGAGGUCGAU
ensembl:snoRNA